GGACCUGGCAACACUCUCAGUAGAGCCUUCCUUCACCAGUUGCUGUCGUUGGUAGUGAAAGGAAGUCUAGAGGCGUCGAUUUGACAAUGUAGGGCGUGUGUCAGACUGCUUGACUUCGUGGAAAGACGGCGAAAGUUGGGGUGAUUUGUCGCUGUGGCGACCGUAGCGCCUUCCUUUGUCAAUUUUGUCCACGGAAAGGCCCCGGCCAGCAACCAAAUGUUGAUCACCCUACGUGCACAGAAUAGGAUGAGGAACAUGGCGCUUAGCGACCGGAAGUUUGUGGUUUUCAAGUCGUCGUUAUUGCCCGGUGAUUCAUCGUUUUCAAGGUAUUCACAUUUUUUUGAAUUUGGUAGGCAUUAUAGCAUGCCGUCGUGGCGUUGUAAGGUGCUUGGUGGUGAUUUCAGGUACUUGUGGGAUAAUUUAUUGAGGCUUGUCAACGCGUUACAGUGUGGGAGCCCAACUUUUGAGCCUCCCCUGCAUUUUGUCCAAGGGUCAGAAGACUAGUUAGGGCUCUCUUAGUGCUGUUCAGAUGUAAAUCUUUUGUUUACCGCUAGUCUUUUAGAAUCCUCGUCCUCUGGUAGUGUAUAGAGUACUUAGCAAUAUCUGCAUUUCGCCUUGCAUGCCAAUUGUUGUAGGCGGGGCAUACACAAGUUAGUGCUAAGCUUUACCAGCUGCAUUCUGUGCCAUUGUUGCACGUGGGAACGCUGGCAAUUGCGAGUCGUGUGUACUCCGAGUCGUCUUCAGUGGCUGCUUGGUCUGUUUGGCUUUUUAGUGAAAAUGAUGUAAUAUCUGUUGUCUGGGAUACUGCUCAUGGAGCCAAGACUGCUAGCAUGGUUGAGAUGAACUACCACUGUAGCUGUCGCACUGGUUGUGUUGGAAGUAGGGGAGGCUGCAAGAGCUGUUUUCAAAACUGCCAACCUUGCACCGUCCGUUGUAGAUGCAGAGGCAACUGUCAGAAUCCCCACAACAGAAAUGGUGUGUGUACUCGCUGUAGGGCUAGAGUACAUGAUAGAAUUAGUGUACUGGUGUGGGCUAAUGAGACACUUAUUACACGUCCAAGUUAUUCAAACCAGGACCCACAGUUGCUGGAUGUUGUUGAUGCUGAUGACAAGUUGAGUAGUGAGACUGGCACAGACUGUGAGGAUGAGGAGGUGAAAAUUGAGGGAGAUUUCACUGGGCAGCCAAAUAGAUUACCCGAGGUGUUCCCAUCCUACAGUUAUUUAGCACACAGUGUGAGUGAUCUUUAUCAUGAAGGAAGCUCCACUGAAGAAGACUAGAUAUUGAUGGUGAGAAACUGUCAUCCUGUCUGUGUACAAAAAUUUACAUUACUUAGGGGGGUCAGUCAAGGUUAGGUAACUUGUAGGUACGUAAUGUAAGAUAUUGUGUGUAAUCAACUAAAAUUAAUCAAACAUAAUUAUGCCUUGGUGCUCAUGUGCAGUGGAGGUGCACAGUAGUCUGCUGGAGGGGGUGCACGAUGGAUUUAACAACAAAAUGACUCACACGUGUAAGAAGUGAUGUUUUCUUGGAUUUUGAUUCAUGAAUUCAAAAGAUAAAGCUUUAUUUUUUAGUUAUGGGUGAUUUCUCAUUGCACAUGUGCAGUAAACGUAUACCGUAAUCUGCCCCAUGUGUUUGCCCUACUGAACUUUGAAUGCCCAGUUGAUCUCGCACCGAGGCAUCAGCACCCCUGGUGCUAUUACUAUUAGCACAGGUAAUAGGUCUUGUGGACUGUUUAAAGACUAGACAGAUUUGGGUGGGUCAAUGAAGUCCCGGAUGUUGCAUGGCAACACAUCAGGUUGUGUGUGUUGACCUGACCAUCUCUUGUGUUUAUAUACUGUUUGACGUUGACACUGCUGGCAGCAGAUCCUUCCUGAAUUGGCUCAUGGUCACAGCACACAAUUGAAGCUGCACAAAGGGCAAUCACUGUGAAGAUUCCUAGGUCGACAGCAGAAUCAGUAGGACAUGCUUUACUCUGCGUAGAUCACUACGGGAGACUACCUGCUGGGGUGUGCACAGUGCCUCCAAAGAAUAGAAACUUGUCCAUAACUUUCUUACGCAGGGCUGUGGAAGAAAAUAGAAAAUACUGGACUGUCGGCAAGGCACUGCCACUGUUAACAUACAAUUAGAAUUGUUGCCGUCUUCUACAAUUGAGAAUAUACAGACCUGUUGUCUUG